rnacentral:tRNA from 1 species
UGGGGUGUAGCUCAGAGGUAGAGCACUCGCCUAGCAUGCGUGAAACACUGGGUUCGAUCCUCAGCACCACAU